UUAAUAUUGUUAAAAUGUUGUCAUACUUCUGGACAGAGAGUUAGAGAUAGGUGAAAAAAUAAAAAAUCCUCUUUUGCAACCAGAACUCAUCGCUAAGUAUGACUUUUGAUACAUAUAAGAAGGAAUAUU